rnacentral:rRNA from 1 species
UCGAACGGUAACAGGAAGCAGCUUGCUGCUUUGCUGACGAGUGGCGGACGGGUGAGUAAUGUCUGGGAAACUGCCUGAUGGAGGGGGAUAACUACUGGAAACGGUAGCUAAUACCGCAUAACGUCGCAAGACCAAAGAGGGGGACCUUCGGGCCUCUUGCCAUCGGAUGUGCCCAGAUGGGAUUAGCUAGUAAGUGGGGUAACGGCUCACCUAGGCGACGAUCCCUAGCUGGUCUGAGAGGAUGACCAGCCACACUGGAACUGAGACACGGUACAGACUCCUACGGGAGGCAGCAGUGGGGAAUAUUGCACAAUGGGCGCAAGCCUGAUGCAGCCAUGCCGCGUGUAUGAAGAAGGCCUUCGGGUUGUAAAGUACUUUCAGCGGGGAGGAAGGCGACAGGGUUAAUAACCCUGUCGAUUGACGUUACCCGCAGAAGAAGCACCGGCUAACUCCGUGCCAGCAGCCGCGGUAAUACGGAGGGUGCAAGCGUUAAUCGGAAUUACUGGGCGUAAAGCGCACGCAGGCGGUCUGUCAAGUCGGAUGUGAAAUCCCCGGGCUCAACCUGGGAACUGCAUUCGAAACUGGCAGGCUAGAGUCUUGUAGAGGGGGGUAGAAUUCCAGGUGUAGCGGUGAAAUGCGUAGAGAUCUGGAGGAAUACCGGUGGCGAAGGCGGCCCCCUGGACAAAGACUGACGCUCAGGUGCGAAAGCGUGGGGAGCAAAC